CCCUUAGAUGUUCUGGGCCGCACGCGCGCUACAAUGAAACGUUCAACAAGUUUUCUGUGGCCAGAGAUGGCUCCGGAUCUGCUUCGUCGAAAGGCGUGGCGAAUCUUUUAAACGCGUUUCGUGCUGGGGCUUGACAUUUGCAAUUAUUUGUCAUAAACGAGGAAUUCCUAGUAAACGCGACUCAUCAGGUCGCAUUGAUUACGUCCCUGCCCUUUGUACACACCGCCCGUCGCUCCUACCGAUUGAGUGGUCCGGUGAGGCUUUGGGAUCUGAGCGGAAAGAGCGUUUCGCUGUUUCUGCUCGGAAAACUCAGUCGAACCUUAUCAUUUAGAGGAAGGAGAAGUCGUAACA
rnacentral:rRNA from 1 species